AAGACGGUAAUAAUGGAGGUGGAAGCUUCCAGAAGCAACAUGUCCCGUAGAACCUGGAAGGCGUGGGCAGGAAAACGCAAAACGAUGCGCACGGGAGGGAGGUACCGACAUCAAGGCUGCACGACCGCUAGCCAAAAGGGCGGAAGGCUCUCAGUAAGUGAGAAAUCAUCGUUGUGCGAAGAUGAUGGAUGGCAUGGAGAGGCUGGAGGAAAACAGUUGGUCUCCAAAUGUGUGAUUUGAGCAGGGGGAGAAGGAAGGUAGGGUCGCGAAGUAUCGCAGGUGGGCAGGUCAGCCGCCCCAUCCGUGUCCUACUCGGGGAGAGGCGGGGCCCUGCGGGAGGUAGUGCCCGGUCGUGCGGUUGCUCAGGCAAGCGAAUCAACGGCCUUUCCACGCUUUUGGCUUGUUAAAGCAAUCACACGC
rnacentral:lncRNA from 1 species